rnacentral:rRNA from 2 species
UCGAAUGAGGCAAGACUACCCGCUGAACUUAAGCAUAUCACUAAGCGGAGGAGAAGAAACUAACCAGGAUGCCCCUAGUAAUGGCGAAUGAAGCGGGCUGAGCUCACGCUGCCAAUCUGGAGGCCUCGCGUAUGCAGCGCCCCCCGAAUUGUGGUCUAGAGAGGCGUUAUCGGCCGCGCCCGCCGCUCAAGUCCCUUGGAACAGGGUGUCGGAGAGGGUGAGAAUCCCGUACCGUGGCGGGUUGCGGCCUUACGAUGCGUCCUCGUCGAGUCGGGUUGCUUGGGAUUGCAGCUUGAAUUGGGUGGUAAAUUCCAUCUAAAGCUAAAUACUGGCGAGAGACCGAUAGCGAACAAGUACCGUGAGGGAAAGAUGCAAAGAACUUUGAAAAGAGAGUCAAAGAGUGCUUGAAAUCGGUAGGAGGAAACCCGGAUGGGCCC